rnacentral:tRNA from 1 species
AUAUUUAUAAAAAAAUAAAUUUAAUUAUUUUAAAAAAUAUAUACUCAUUAUAUUACUAAUAUAAACAAAAAAAUAUAUUAAAAUAUAAUAAUUUAUAAAGCAAAAAAAAAUAUAUAUAUAUUUUCAAAAUAUUUAAAACCUAUAUAAAUCAAACAUUUAAUAAAAUUAUAAAAAAUUAUAAAAUAUAUUUGAAUAAUUAUAUAAAUAUA